UAUUCGUGCUUCAUUCGAUAGGCAAAAGUGCAAGUGUUCGGUCGGUAGCGCUCGCACGCUAACUUUUGGCUACCCCUUAAAGGCGUAAAAUUGACCCGUUAUUGAGAACCUUCGCGAUCUGUCAAAUAACGGGUCAUUUUGACGAGUCAAUAUUACCCCUUAUUCCGAACAAGUAGCGAACGCUUCAAAAAGGGUAACUUUGGAACUUGUCAUUUGGUACGUUACUUUUUCCAUCGAAUUGUUUGUGCAGAAAGAUUUUGAUCUGAACAUCAGCAGGCCGCGGUUGAGGACCCGUUAAAUCCAAAUAAAAAAUAUUCAACCACAAUUGAUGCGGUUAAGAAAGUUUUUGGGACAUUAAACACGAUGGAUGAACCACAAUACCGGCCCAGGAAGCAUCGGAAAAACAUCAACAUUUCGACGAAAAAAAAACAUCUUGUGGAAAAAAACAAUAUUGAUGGAAAAUAUUGAAGUGUUAAUGAUUCAAGACAAUUAAGUGUUCAAUUAUUGGCAUUUUAACAAACAGAAUGGAAUAUUAUUCAUUUGGUUUGAUUUUUUUCUCUGCAAACGAAAAUGCUUUUAGCUAAUACACAAACCUCCACCAAGCUCAAGCGUUUCAAAUAAGGGGUAAUUUUCAUCCGCUACAAGCGUUAUCAUACUGAGUACCCCCUAAAAGGGUAAAGUGACUCUAUCCGUAAAAAGGAGUUAUCCCAGUCUUAUCGAAUAACGGGUCAUAAGUAUUCGUUAAGGGGUAGCCAAAAGCAGGUACUAUCGGCUUCUGAGAAAUUUUGGGGGCAAAACACUAGCGCCAAAAUAAAAAUUACGAGUAGGGCUUUAACCAUUAAUUAGAAAAUUUUAACAGCAUGCUUUGAAGUUUUGGUUUACACCACAAUCGAUUGGAGCUUUGAAAUCAAAUUUUUUCAAAUCCCUGUCUUCACAAUUCGGACGAAGAGCUGGAAGUCUGGGUCAAAAGCCUCGAACGGGAUUCGGAGAAUCGUGAAGAAAUCACCGGCUUAGAUUGUUUUCUCAAAAUAACACCCACUUCUCAGAAAAUGAUACUGGUGAAAACCAAAUCUUUGCCAAGGCAGUGGCUAUUCGAGACGACGACGACGGAGAUGCAUACAAAUAUCGUCAUGACAAAGUGAAUCCACGUUAUCGAAGCGUACCCUACCAAUCUCGUUGCCCCUUGCGAACGCAUAGACACUGGCGAAACGCUAAAGUCGGUGUCGUUCCCCGAAGGAAUGAAGGAUGAAGUGCUAAAAAUCGAUCCACAUCCGGACGAAAUGUCGUCACCAUACAAACCGCCGGCAGACAAGGCUAAUCCUCGACCACAAUUCCACUACCGGAAUAUGCCGAGGCGUGCACGAAAAUAAUGAUAAUAAAUAACAAAGCCAGUUUAAAAAUGUGUGUCCGAUAAUAAAGCCUUUUAGAAAUUUAAUUUCUUUUUUGUUGAAUUUAUAUGUGAGAACUUUCCUUUAAAUGGUGGGAAAAGUCUUUUACAGUUGGCAUAUCAAAAUUGAAGAUUGAAUAUUUAUAUUUAUAUUUUAAUUGUUCAUAUUUUAUUCAUAUUUGCUUAUUCAUAUUCGUACAGAACAGCUGCAGUUCGUCAUCACAUCCAAAUAGGAUAAGGUUCGGACCACGGUUUUUAACACAUGAUGCAAGAACCUGUUAGAACCAGAAAAAUAAAACUGCAAAAGUAAUGUGUUUU